rnacentral:lncRNA from 1 species
GAAAUUGAUCUGUCCCUGAUUUUAGGACAAGUUCAUGAGGCAGGACAUUCUUGGGUAAAAUAGCCUAGAAACCUUGAAAACCAAAUCCUCAUGUAAACAAUUACACCGCACCAAUGGACUAUGCUAGCGGAAAGAGGGCAUCCCCGCGGAGACAGGUCAGUCCAGGAAGGCUUCCCGAAGGAGGGGGUUCUCAGCUUGUCUCAAAGAGAUUCACGUGGGAGCAAAGGAUUGCUGGGCCAAGGACACCCAGAGAGAAAAAAGGGAUUAUGGAAAAUCCAGCAAGUUGUAACCAGCCAAUCUCACACUAAUGAUGUGAUCAAGAGAUGGACCUGUCUCCUGGCGAGGGGCCAUCGGCACUUGUCAACGCCCUCCGGUGUCCACGGGCAAGAGACAAAUCAGAAAUCACAGCCAUCCUGCUCCCGUCCCCAGAGGCGACCGCUGAAGAGGAGGGAGCCGUUUCUCGGGCGGCCUUCAUAUACAGCAUCGAUGCCAAAUAAUCACGUAAAUAAAUACAUGAGUACGAUAAGGACAGGAAGACAAAGGGAAGGGAGGAGAAGAAAAGAAAAAGCCAGGAACGGCUCCACCAGGAUAGGGACCUGCCUGCUUCCUUCCCCGCUAAGGCUUCCGCGUCGAGAUCAGCACCUGGCCCCGGUUCAGGACGGACAGACCUGCGAGCGCCAACACAGCCCGUCCCCACUCCUGUGGCGACAUAGGCCACACGGCUCUGCGGCUCACUUUUCUUGCUCCCUCAGCUGGGAGACCGUGUUUUCUCCACUCACACAGAGCUGCCUCGUUCCGGUGCUGCAGAGUCGGCCACGUGGCCGCAGCCGGGGACAUCUGGCCCAAUCCCGCAGGUGGAGACACGAUGGAACUGGUCUUUCCUCAGAGGCUGCGGGCAGUGGCUGCGGGAAUAUUAUUGCACAAACCGUGAAGGGGAAUGAAGGAUAUUUUCAGUUCGGAGCUCAGAUUCCCGGAUCACAGGUCCUCCCUUCCCGUUCUGCCUGCCAGGGUGGAGCUGGGUGGAUUAGUCUGGACAUUUCAGGCCACUGGCCACUGCUCUGGAGCAGGUCCUAGAGAGCCUUCUGUCUCUGUGCCUAGCGUGGACCCUUCACUUGCCGGAGCACAGAGUGGCCCAGGGUCUGGGGACUGACCCCAGAGUGGCCAGCGAGGCAGGCUCGUCACUCUGAGGCUCAAAGCAUAGGACACCAUCUGUGCCUGCUCGUGGGUAAGAGUUCAAGCCUCUGCACCAGCGUUACUGUGCGCCCUGCAGACAAUCUAACUCCGUGGGGAAAUGGAGGCUCAGAUGCUUUCCCAGGGAAGACGCUAGCUUGAUUCCAGAGGACGCAGGCUGGUGGCAGUGAAGCCAAGCCCAGGGAAAG